rnacentral:tRNA from 1 species
AGGGUAAUAACUCAGUGGUAGAGUGCAUGCUUAGCAUGCAUGAGGUCCUGGGUUCAAUCCCCAGUACCUCCU